UCAGUAACGGCGAGUGAAGCGGCAAAAGCUCAAAUUUGAAAUCUAGCACCUUCGGUGUUCGAGUUGUAAUUUGAAGAUGGUAACCUUGGGUUUGGCUCUUGUCUAUGUUCCUUGGAACAGGACGUCAUAGAGGGUGAGAAUCCCGUCUGAUGAGAUGCCCAUUCCUAUGUAAGGUGCUAUCGAAGAGUCGAGUUGUUUGGGAAUGCAGCUCUAAGUGGGUGGUAAAUUCCAUCUAAAGCUAAAUAUUGGCGAGAGACCGAUAGCGAACAAGUACAGUGAUGGAAAGAUGAAAAGAACUUUGAAAAGAGAGUGAAAAAGUACGUGAAAUUGUUGAAAGGGAAGGGCAUUAGAUCAGACUUGGUGUUUUACGAUUAUCUUCUCUUCUUGAGUUGUGCACUCGUAUUUCACUGGGCCAGCAUCGAUUCGGAUGGCAAGAUAAUGGCAGUUGAAUGUGGCUUCACUUCGGUGGAGUGUUAUAGCUUCUGCUGAUAUUGCCUGUCUGGAUCGAGGGCUGCGUCUUUUGACUAGGAUGCUGGCGUAAGAUCUA
rnacentral:rRNA from 1 species